GCACCUCUAGCUCAAUUGGUAGAGCAUCGGACUCUUAAUCCGCAGGUUCUGGGUUCGAGUCCCAGGGGGUGUACCC
rnacentral:tRNA from 2 species